rnacentral:rRNA from 1 species
CGGGACACGUGGUAUCCUGUCUGAAUAUGGGGGGACCAUCCUCCAAGGCUAAAUACUCCUGACUGACCGAUAGUGAACCAGUACCGUGAGGGAAAGGCGAAAAGAACCCCGGCGAGGGGAGUGAAAAAGAACCUGAAACCGUGUACGUACAAGCAGUGGGAGCACGCUUAGGCGUGUGACUGCGUACCUUUUGUAUAAUGGGUCAGCGACUUAUAUUCUGUAGCAAGGUUAACCGAAUAGGGGAGCCGAAGGGAAACCGAGUCUUAACUGGGCGUUAAGUUGCAGGGUAUAGACCCGAAACCCGGUGAUCUAGCCAUGGGCAGGUUGAAGGUUGGGUAACACUAACUGGAGGACCGAACCGACUAAUGUUGAAAAAUUAGCGGAUGACUUGUGGCUGGGGGUGAAAGGCCAAUCAAACCGGGAGAUAGCUGGUUCUCCCCGAAAGCUAUUUAGGUAGCGCCUCGUGAAUUCAUCUCCGGGGGUAGAGCACUGUUUCGGCAAGGGGGUCAUCCCGACUUACCAACCCGAUGCAAACUGCGAAUACCGGAGAAUGUUAUCACGGGAGACACACGGCGGGUGCUAACGUCCGUCGUGAAGAGGGAAACAACCCAGACCGCCAGCUAAGGUCCCAAAGUCAUGGUUAAGUGGGAAACGAUGUGGGAAGGCCCAGACAGCCAGGAUGUUGGCUUAGAAGCAGCCAUCAUUUAAAGAAAGCGUAAUAGCUCACUGGUCGAGUCGGCCUGCGCGGAAGAUGUAACGGGGCUAAACCAUGCACCGAAGCUGCGGCAGCGACGCUGAUGCGUUGUUGGGUAGGGGAGCGUUCUGUAAGCCUGUGAAGGUGUGCUGUGAGGCAUGCUGGAGGUAUCAGAAGUGCGAAUGCUGACAUAAGUAACGAUAAAGCGGGUGAAAAGCCCGCUCGCCGGAAGACCAAGGGUUCCUGUCCAACGUUAAUCGGGGCAGGGUGAGUCGACCCCUAAGGCGAGGCCGAAAGGCGUAGUCGAUGGGAAACAGGUUAAUAUUCCUGUACUUGGUGUUACUGCGAAGGGGGGACGGAGAAGGCUAUGUUGGCCGGGCGACGGUUGUCCCGGUUUAAGCGUGUAGGCUGGUUUUCCAGGCAAAUCCGGAAAAUCAAGGCUGAGGCGUGAUGACGAGGCACUACGGUGCUGAAGCAACAAAUGCCCUGCUUCCAGGAAAAGCCUCUAAGCAUCAGGUAACAUCAAAUCGUACCCCAAACCGACACAGGUGGUCAGGUAGAGAAUACCAAGGCGCUUGAGAGAACUCGGGUGAAGGAACUAGGCAAAAUGGUGCCGUAACUUCGGGAGAAGGCACGCUGAUAUGUAGGUGAAGCGACUUGCUCGUGGAGCUGAAAUCAGUCGAAGAUACCAGCUGGCUGCAACUGUUUAUUAAAAACACAGCACUGUGCAAACACGAAAGUGGACGUAUACGGUGUGACGCCUGCCCGGUGCCGGAAGGUUAAUUGAUGGGGUCAGCGCAAGCGAAGCUCUUGAUCGAAGCCCCGGUAAACGGCGGCCGUAACUAUAACGGUCCUAAGGUAGCGAAAUUCCUUGUCGGGUAAGUUCCGACCUGCACGAAUGGCGUAAUGAUGGCCAGGCUGUCUCCACCCGAGACUCAGUGAAAUUGAACUCGCUGUGAAGAUGCAGUGUACCCGCGGCAAGACGGAAAGACCCCGUGAACCUUUACUAUAGCUUGACACUGAACAUUGAGCCUUGAUGUGUAGGAUAGGUGGGAGGCUUUGAAGUGUGGACGCCAGUCUGCAUGGAGCCGGCCUUGAAAUACCACCCUUUAAUGUUUGAUGUUCUAACGUUGACCCGUGAUCCGGGUUGCGGACAGUGUCUGGUGGGUAGUUUGACUGGGGCGGUCUCCUCCUAAAGAGUAACGGAGGAGCACGAAGGUUGGCUAAUCCUGGUCGGACAUCAGGAGGUUAGUGCAAUGGCAUAAGCCAGCUUGACUGCGAGCGUGACGGCGCGAGCAGGUGCGAAAGCAGGUCAUAGUGAUCCGGUGGUUCUGAAUGGAAGGGCCAUCGCUCAACGGAUAAAAGGUACUCCGGGGAUAACAGGCUGAUACCGCCCAAGAGUUCAUAUCGACGGCGGUGUUUGGCACCUCGAUGUCGGCUCAUCACAUCCUGGGGCUGAAGUAGGUCCCAAGGGUAUGGCUGUUCGCCAUUUAAAGUGGUACGCGAGCUGGGUUUAGAACGUCGUGAGAC